UACGGGGGGGGCAAGCGUUGUUCGGAAUUACUGGGCGUAAAGGGUUCGUAGGCGGUUAAGUAAGUCAGACGUGAAAUCCCUCGGCUUAACCGGGGAACUGCAUCUGAUACUGGAUGGCUUGAGUUCGGGAGAGGGAUGCGGAAUUCCAGGUGUAGCGGUGAAAUGCGUAGAUAUCUGGAGGAACACCGGUGGCGAAGGCGGCAUCCUGGACCGGCACUGACGCUGAGGAGCGAAAGCUAGGGGAGCAAACAGG
rnacentral:rRNA from 1 species